UACGGAGGGGACUAGCGUUGUUCGGAAUUACUGGGCGUAAAGCGCACGUAGGCGGAAUUGUAAGUCAGGGGUGAAAUCCCGGGGCUCAACCUCGGAACUGCCUUUGAUACUGCAAAUCUCGAGUCCGGAAGAGGUGAGUGGAAUUCCUAGUGUAGAGGUGAAAUUCGUAGAUAUUAGGAAGAACACCAGUGGCGAGGGCGGCUCACUGGUCCGGUACUGACGCUGAGGUUCGAAAGCUUGGGGAUCAAACAGG
rnacentral:rRNA from 1 species